GUGAGGAAUAUUGCGCAAUGGAGGCAACUCUGACGCAGCCAUGCCGCGUGCAGGAAGAAGGCGCUACGCGUUGUAAACUGCUUUUAACCGGGAAGAAACCCCAGGACGUGUCCUGGGUUGACGGUACCGGAGGAAUAAGCACCGGCUAACUUCGUGCCAGCAGCCGCGGUAAUACGAAGGGUGCAAGCGUUAUCCGGAUUCAUUGGGUUUAAAGGGUGCGUAGGCGGAGCGUUAAGUCAGUGGUGAAAUCCUGCAGCUUAACUGUAGACUUGCCAUUGAUACUGGCGCUCUUGAGUGCGCUUGAAGUGGGCGGAAUGUGCCGUGUAGCGGUGAAAUGCUUAGAUAUGGCACAGAACACCAAUUGCGAAGGCAGCUCACUAAGGCGAUACUGACGCUGAGGUGCGAAAGCAUGGGGAGCAAACAGGAUUAGAUACCCCGGUAGUCC
rnacentral:rRNA from 1 species